GGCGCCGCUGGUGCCGUCGGUGGCGCCGCUGGUGCCGUCGGUGGCGCCGCUGGUGCCGUCGGUGGCGCCGCUGGUGCCGUCGGUGGCGCCGCUG
rnacentral:tRNA from 1 species